UCUUCUAUAGAUUAUUUGGUUAAAUUGCUAAUUUGUGGUGUUAGAGAAUCCUUUUUAUUUGUAGGGUGGAAGAA
rnacentral:tRNA from 1 species